rnacentral:tRNA from 1 species
GCGGGUGUAGCUCAGGGGUAGAGCAAUGGCUUCCCAAGCCAUGUGUCGUGGGUUCGAAUCCCAUCACCCGCU